UACGUAGGGGGCAAGCGUUAUCCGGAUUUACUGGGUGUAAAGGGAGCGUAGACGGUAUGGCAAGUCUGAUGUGAAAACCCGGGGCUCAACCCCGGGACUGCAUUGGAAACUGUCGGACUAGAGUGUCGGAGAGGCAAGUGGAAUUCCUAGUGUAGCGGUGAAAUGCGUAGAUGUUAGGAGGAACACCAGUGGCGAAGGCGGCUUGCUGGACGAUGACUGACGUUGAGGCUCGAAAGCGUGGGGAGCAAACAGG
rnacentral:rRNA from 1 species